rnacentral:snRNA from 1 species
GGAUGUGAGCGCAAUCUGGCUGCGACAUCUCUCACCCCAUUGACCGCCAGGGUUGAUUGGGCUGAUCUGGCUGGCUAGGAGGGUGUCCCCUUCCUCCCUCAAAGCUCCAUGUGCGUCCCUCCCAAAGCUACACUGUUGGUCGAAGAGGAUGACCUUUCCCGACAGAGGAGGACUGGUCUUCCGUCAAGGGUAUACGAGUAGCUGCACUCCCCUGCUCGAACCUCCAAACAAGCUCUCAAGGAGUGGAGAGUCCACAUUCUCUAACUUGAAAAAUAACCUAAGCUCAAUCAAUAUUCCUGGGCGAAAAGAUUA